UUACAUUCCAUAUUCCUAAAUCAUGUAUACAUAAUGUAUGUAUGUAUGUAUGUAUGUAUAGAUAGCUAGCUUAGAUAAAUAGACAGGUGGGUAGAAAGAUAAUAUCACUUGAUGUUUCGAUUCUCUUUUGUCAUCCCAUCUUGUCGGUGUGGUGGGACUCAUCAACUAUUUUUUAGCACUUUUUACAAAUAGUUUCGGCUUAUAUGUGCAUAUGUUUUGCUCUUAAAUUUAAACAUGAGAUGAUCACAAAACAAAAUUCAUUCUCAUCGGCCGAUGGGAAUAAAAGUUCUUCGAAUGUAUAUUUAAUUUGGACUACGCUUGACUCCCCAUAUUAAAUCUAAAACCAGUGCUCUUAACAUGCAGCAUU
rnacentral:lncRNA from 1 species